ACACACACACACACAGGUAUCACCAGAGAUUGCCAUGACAGUAGUCACACACACUUGUGGGUGUACAAGGGCGAGAGAUUUUAUCUAUGGGAUUGUGUGUGUGUGUGUGUGUGUGUGUACUGACUCUUGUUCUUGCGCAGCAGGGCAGAGGCAAUCCAGGGUUCUGUUUGGACCAUCCUGAGAGAGGGCACGGGCUUGUCCUCCACGGAUGAUGAUGAUGAUGUGAUCACCAUGGAGAUGAUCGACAAGUAAUCAAUCCAGCAGGGAAACACUGUCAAUCAAAACGCUUUGAUGGGUGGGUGGGGCUCGUGAAGGGAGUUUCAGUCUGUCAUGAGAUACGUCUUUUCAAUCCCCGAGUUCGCUUCAGCAGUUUACAUCCAACUGAAUCAAUGAAUCUUGAAAUGGUGGGAAACCGACCGACCAAUCAAAAGGCACCUUCUUCUCUGGCUUCUUUCUUUUCCUUUUUUGUGACUGUGGUUUCUAAGGCAACCAACUGGUGUACAGGCAGCUUGUCUCUCUGGAGUAAAAAUAUAAAAGGAUGUAAUCUCUGUCUUCGGUGGAGUUACACUAUAGAUAUAGAUCUCUCAUUCUACAUAUAUAUUAUGUUUCUCUGUGGGUAUGGGGAGUCUGGGAAGUUAGAAUAUUUGGUUAUUCAGGUUAGCUUUUUUAUUUUGUUGGUUUCGGCAGUUUCAUGCAUUCUUCCUGUGUGCUGGAGAUUAGUACUGCUCCAGGGCGCUGGUGACUGAUAUUUUAAAUUAGUCAGAAAAAGUAGGCCUUUUCUUUCUUUGUAUGGUAAUGGGUGGUUACUCUGAGUACGACUUGCUUGUGAUGGGUUCACUUAGUCCAGGGCAGGUUCAACCAAAAAUACACAGCUAAUAGUUCUUCAGACAUCUUAGUCGUAAUCCAGUACAGGGUAUUUUGUGUGUCCGGUGCAGCCUUGACCAGUAGAACACAGUGCAGCUAGUAUUCCCGGGUUAACAAGACGCCGUGGUCAGCAUGGUUCAAACGGAUCCUUUAUUUCGCAGCGGAAUAAGUUCAUCCAAUUGUUGUUAUUAUUCCACCCUACUUCUGAAAAUACAUUAACUAGCUGCAAGUCGCGUGUGUGCUAACCAGGCUCGCCCAGCAUGCUGCCGGGGCGGCUGAGCGAGGCAGUGUGACAGCAGGGGGGCAAGAGAAGGAAGUGGAGGGGAGUUGGGUUUCCCGCUGCCUGCUUUUACCCCAUCCCUUACGCUAAAUAUAGCUCCGAUUACAGGCGCGUUCUGGGGCUGGACCCGUCACUGGACCCAGUGGGGGAAUGAUGCUACAGCUCGGAUUAAUCCCAGUGACACGGACACACGCGGCCCUCCGCUGGUAAUGUCACAGGGCCCGGACAGCCAACAGCCCCCCCGAGGCCUCCGCUCCCCCUCACCCGCCUCCAGCGGGAGGUGGCUGGCCUCUGCCAAGGUGAACAGGAGCCCUUUUCUCUUUUUUUUUUAGAAAAGCCAGACAAUAACGUAAUCCCCGCACGCCGCGCAGGGGCCGUAUCUGUGACAACAAGCCGUUUACACAAACGCCUGUAAACGAACCAGCUCGCCGCGACGUGUUGAUUCCACGGAGACGUGCAGCUCCGGGGGGGGGGAAGUUCCGCUCACCGGAUAUCCACAACUCACGGGCCGCCGGGGCGGUUUGCAGGAACAGCGUGAUUACAAGCAGGGGCAAUGCGCCUUAACUGCACACCUUUCACUUUUUGUGACAAAGCCGGGGGGGAGACAAAAGUUUAAAUCCGGUGUUCGGGGUUAGAUGGCAAAUGUCUUCCCGUGUUGAAGAAACGCAGAGGACAAGCCGCUGGCGGCCUGCAUCGUACUUCCAAACUCCGACGGCGCCUUCUGUUUACCAACGCGUAACACGAUCCAAGAGGAAGUCUGAGUGUGUGCGGCCUUACUGACUUUGCUGCAUCGUGCCAGUGUGAAAGCAUCCCAAUGAAGAACGCCUAGUGAUGUCACACACAUCUCAUCUCCAGAGGUGUGUAGCAUUCACCAUCAUCUAAGAAUCAUGGACACAGUUCAAAGACCCACCGACCCGCCUUCUCCUCCAUCCCAGUCUUCAUACGAUGGACUUAGGUCACAUGAUGGCAGCGGGUUGGAGACCACCGAUGGUCUCUGGCCUCGGGUGUUAAUGUGGCUCCUCGUCUUCCUACAGACGCCUGCGACAGGACUUGGUUGGGUUUGGUCCGAGGAGACUGACCAGCUUUGAUUUGACUUUGCUGCUCUGUCACACUACGGACAAUUCUGCUUGGAGAUCCUCAAAUGAACACACAGGUUUGUGAACUUAUACUGGUCUCGUGAACAGUUGGAGAAACCUCAGUACUUUUAACCUUUUUGACGAAAAACAAACUUUCCGAGAUAAGCAAUGUUAGCAAGACAAUAAAAUGUCAAUUCUAUUCAUGAUUAAUGGUAAUAAAUAUCUGAUUUUUCUU
ensembl:lncRNA